rnacentral:ncRNA from 2 species
UUUAAUUGCUAGGGGUGGCGCGUCGCGCCUGAGAUUACACCCUCUGAACUUGAUUGAGUUAGAACUCACGAAAGGAAGCCAAUCCACUCGUUC